GCAUUCUGGGGGCUGUUUUGGCUUUUGGUUGCUUGCUUGGCCUUUUGGUUGGGUGGGUCGCUAAAAGUUGUCCGGCUUUCGGGAAUGCCGACCGUAAAGGUGCAUGAGUGGUGUUUGGUUUGCUACGGGUGGUUGGCUGUAUGCUUGCGCAACAACGUCCACCCUGCUUACCUCUUCAGUUUUGCAUCAAGACUCGGUUUGUCUUGAGCAUAUUGUGGGUUUCCUGUGUUGCAUACCUAAUCGAUGGUAACGUGUGGGUUUUAUGAUUUCCCUUUUCGUCGUGCGUCGUUCAAGCGGCGUGGGACGAACAAUGGAGCGGGCUUUGUGAUCCACCUUGUUGUUGCAGUUGCAACAACAACGUGGCCUAUGAAGUGUUGUUCGGUCUCUUGUUUACAGAUCUUUAUGUGGGCAUGGGUCUUACUAGAUCUUCAUUAUGCCCUUGUUAAGCGGUAUUGCUUCUCCAAAACGAUUGUCUACCAUGUUAAGGCUUGUCCUUGCAUGGUGGGCUAUAUCGA
rnacentral:misc_RNA from 1 species